rnacentral:rRNA from 1 species
AACGAACGCUGGCGGCAGGCUUAACACAUGCAAGUCGAACGCCCCGCAAGGGGAGUGGCAGACGGGUGAGUAACGCGUGGGAACAUACCCUUUCCUGCGGAAUAGCUCUGGGAAACUGGAAUUAAUACCGCAUACGCCCUACGGGGGAAAGAUUUAUCGGGGAAGGAUUGGCCCGCGUUGGAUUAGCUAGUUGGUGGGGUAAAGGCCUACCAAGGCGACGAUCCAUAGCUGGUCUGAGAGGAUGAUCAGCCACAUUGGGACUGAGACACGGCCCAAACUCCUACGGGAGGCGGCAUUGGUGACUAUUGGACAAUGGGCGAAAGCCUGAUCCAGCCAUGCCGCGUGAGUGAUGAAGGCCUUAGGGUUGUAAAGCUCUUUCACCGAUGAAGAUAAUGUCGGUAGUCGGAGAAGAAGCCCCGGCUAACUUCGUGCCAGCAGCCGCCGUAAUAC